AAAAAAAGGAAAAAGGAAAAAUAUUUAAUUUAUAAUGACUCCAUAUCAGCAGAGCACUUAAAAAUAGAGUUCAGGCUGAAGGCUUAACUAUUUUUCUCUGUCAUGCCCAAUGAUUGUUUAAAGUUUGGAUUGUCUAGCUCUUUUUUCUUUUUUAUAAUAUUAGUAUCAAGUCUCCACGUAAAGAAAGAGUGCUAAUCCACAAGCAAAGGAGCAAAGGAAUAAGGUUAAUCUAAAACAAGGAAAUGAACCAAAAUGCAAAGUCUAUUCACUUAUCAUCUCAUAAAUAUGGGUAAAUAUUAAUUAUUAAUUAUUAAUCUGGGGACUAUGUGUAUUUUUUUUUCAUAAGAGGAUGGUAUAAAAAACAAGUAAAAAAACUUUAAAAAAAGAAUGAAUAGAAGGUAAGAUUUUAGUUGCCUAACUCCAGGUAAACAUCCAAACAGACAAAAAACAAAUAAAUUCCAUACUAUUUCAGAGCAUUACAACCCUGACGUUCAAUUUCAACUUUUCUCCAAAGAUGUCGGCAUGACUCUAGGCAAAAAUCUGAAGCAUUAAACGGAUAAAAAGAAAAUAUUUUUUCCACAUUACUGUAAUCUCUUUUUCCUCACUUAUGCACAAGACUAUAACUUCCAAUUCCUUCCCUUUAAUUAGCUAAAAGAGAUUAUUGGUGCACUUGUCCUGUACUGCUGAAGACUUCUGUGCCUCCAUUAAGACUAGCCUUGAGUUUUCCUAAGGUCACAUCCAUUGCAAUCCUCAGUGUUAUUUGUAAUAUUCCUUCAUGUUGCUGUACCACCUCAUGUUCUUGGAAAGACCCCCUUGAUAAGAAGUUAGAAAUGAUAUGCAUAAUAUUGUGAUGCUCAUGUUUGCCUCAGCACACACAUCAAAAUGGUGAUUCUCAUUUUAAAAUAUACCAUGCCAAAAUUCCCAGUCAGAGAGAAUGCACUAUGAUCUUGCUAACUUGUUCUUCUGAUUAACUUUGUCGUUAAGGGGGAGAAGGAUCCUGUUUUGAAGCCGUC
rnacentral:lncRNA from 1 species